CCUACGGGAGGCAGCAGUGAGGAAUAUUGGUCAAUGGGCGGAAGCCUGAACCAGCCAAGUCGCGUGAGGGAAUAAGGCCCUACGGGUUGUAAACCUCUUUUGUCGGGGAGCAAGGGCGGGGACGUGUCCCGGCCCGGAGAGUACCCGGAGAAAAAGCAUCGGCUAACUCCGUGCCAGCAGCCGCGGUAAUACGGAGGAUGCGAGCGUUAUCCGGAUUUAUUGGGUUUAAAGGGUGCGCAGGCGGAUUUUUAAGUCAGCGGUAAAAUCGUGGGGCUCAACCCCAUCCAGCCGUUGAAACUGGGGAUCUAGAGUGUGCGAGAGGUAUGCGGAAUGCGUGGUGUAGCGGUGAAAUGCAUAGAUAUCACGCAGAACCCCGAUUGCGAAGGCAGCAUACCGGUGCACAACUGACGCUCAGGCACGAAAGCGUGGGUAUCGAACAGGAUUAGAUACCCUUGUAGUC
rnacentral:rRNA from 1 species